AGCCACCAUGUGGUUGCUGGGAUUUGAACUCAGGUCCUCUGGAAGAGCAGUCAGUGCUCUAACCACUGAGCCAUCUCUCCAGCCCCUAGAGAUGCUUUUUAAAUGACCUUGGUUUUUAUUAUUUUAAUAUUUAUACUAUUUAUUAUUUGUAGACAUGGCAUUUCUAUAUUAAUACUAAAAAGACUCACAUAAUAUGCAUGUUUUAGAAAUACAACUCCUUUGAGGAGUUGACGAGGUCUUAGGUAGCCAAGGCUGGUCUCAAACUUCGGAUUGUCCUGUUCUUCCCUCCAAGUGCUGGGACUUCAGCCAUGGCCACCCUGCCCAGCUCAGAAACAGUCACUCUUUGUCUCAUAUUCAUCAAGUCUAUUAUUUCAGCUGGAAAGCCAUCUCAACACCCGCCUGUAGAACGGUGGAAGAAUUUCUGGCUGGGAGUUCAGCUCUGGGAUACAGUGAUUGCUACCGAGAAGAAAACCCUCGGUUCGAUCUCCAGAACAAAACCAAAAUAAAACAACAAAACCAAAUAUAUUUUCUGUAGCUGGCAAACAGGAACCAUUCACCGUCUUUGGCUACUCUCAUUCCACUCUCUGUCUAGGGUCACGACUGGCUCGUCCUGGCUAUGAGACUCACUCUCGUUGCACCAUGGAUAAGAAUGCCCUUUUAUUUCUUGUACAAGCUGAAUGAUGUCUGUUGCAUGUAUGUACAUAUUUUGCUUUGUAGACACUUGGGCUAUUUCUACUUUUUGGUUGUUACCAACAAAAAUGAUAAAAUUAUUUAGUCAAGUGCCUGACUUCAAUUGUUGUCAAUAUGCACUUGUGAGUGGACGUGCCGUAUCAAUAUUGGACUAUAUGCUUAAUUUUUGAAGCGCUUCCACUUUUUGCCGUAGCAGCCGCACUACUAUCUUUGGCACAGAUUUCAAUUUCUCAUCAUUC
rnacentral:lncRNA from 1 species